UGCAAGAUAGCUCAGUUGGUAGAGCACCUGACUAGAGAUUCAGGGGGCCCCAGGUUCGCAUCCCAGUCUAGUCC
rnacentral:tRNA from 1 species